UUUAGAGUUUAGGGUUUAGGGUUUAGAGUUUAGGGUUUAGAGUUUAGAGUUUAGGGUUUAGGGUUUAGAGUUUAGGGUUUAGGGUUCAGAAUUUAGGGUUUAGGGUUUAGGGUUUAGAAUUUAGGGUUUAGGGUUUAUAAAUGAAGUUUUGGGGAUAAGAUUUCAAAUUUUGAAAAAUAAAAAAAUUAAAAUUUUCAGAAGAUAAAAUGCUAUUUUGGUCAUUUUAGUUUUUGAGUGCUAUUUUUGUGAUAUAAACUUAU
rnacentral:lncRNA from 1 species